rnacentral:lncRNA from 1 species
UGCUAUGGGGAUGAUGAACAUGGCUCCCAAAGGCGGUGGAGGUGGCGGAGGAGGUGGUGGGAAUGGGAAGAAAGGUGGUGGUGAUGGAAAGAAGAACAAAGAAGGAGGAGGAGGUCAAAAGGAGGACAAAAAGGGUAAAAAGGGAAGUGAUAAAAGCAGCAAAGGAGGAGGAAUUGGAGGGUUGUUUGGGUUUGGGAAGAAGAAGAAGAGCAACAAGGAGAUAGACCAUGAUGAUGGUGGGGGUAAAAGUGUCAAUCUUUCUGAUUU